UGUUUGCCGAGCAAGGCAGGAGUGGAAUCGUACCUCUCAGCUGUAACAUAGUGCGUUUUCCGCUUUUAGUUAUGACGGCUUUUGGCAACGUUAGAACGAGAUGUAGCUGAUAAUGUCGGUAUUCCGGCGAAACUGAUUAUACGAUGAUCCGUGUAACGCUUGUGGACUCGAAAUCACGUAGGAGGAGAUCCCCCAGCGCAGGACACCGGCAAUGUUUUGUAAACACCACAAAAGCUGUAACUUAAAUGGCACUCCACUGAGCAUGGUCGUGAUGCUAUCCAAUGACGCGCAACAACCAGCACCGCAUGGAUACUCUCCAUUAAACCGCGAGCCACGAUACGCGCCGCAUGAAGCAGUAACUAACCGUCAAAGGCCAGAUAGUAGUACGUACCCGGUAGAAGAGGUGCACAGCGCGAGAGCGAAAAUCGGAGCGCAAUUUAUUGGCUUAAUUUAUUUGCCGUUGCUAUAGAUUUGACAAUAAAGUGAAAUCUAUAAAUGGGAGAAAGACAUUAAAGUCUAAAUCAGUACGGAGACCAGCAAUUUGCAUAUACUCUAUACCAGGUGGAGAUAAAAAGAAGAGAUGAUUAUAAGUCUUCCAUCCUGCUGUGGUGCCUGCAGAGUUUUCGAGGGGAGCUGGCAUUUAUUAGUGAACCUUUGAGCAUGGCCCGAUUUCACCAUUUUAGCUAGUAACUUCUGAAUGUGUGUGAGAAAAUUGUG